rnacentral:rRNA from 1 species
CGCCAGGAACCCCACACUCGGUAAUGAUCCUUCCGUAGGUGAACCUGCGGAAGGAUCAUUACCGAGUGUAGGGUUCCUAGCGAGCCCAACCUCCCACCCGUGUUUACUGUACCUUAGUUGCUUCGGCGGGCCCGCCAUUCAUGGCCGCCGGGGGCUCUCAGCCCCGGGCCCGCGCCCGCCGGAGACACCACGAACUCUGUCUGAUCUAGUGAAGUCUGAGUUGAUUGUAUCGCAAUCAGUUAAAACUUUCAACAAUGGAUCUCUUGGUUCCGGCAUCGAUGAAGAACGCAGCGAAAUGCGAUAACUAGUGUGAAUUGCAGAAUUCCGUGAAUCAUCGAGUCUUUGAACGCACAUUGCGCCCCCUGGUAUUCCGGGGGGCAUGCCUGUCCGAGCGUCAUUGCUGCCCAUCAAGCACGGCUUGUGUGUUGGGUCGUCGUCCCCUCUCCGGGGGGGACGGGCCCCAAAGGCAGCGGCGGCACCGCGUCCGAUCCUCGAGCGUAUGGGGCUUUGUCACCCGCUCUGUAGGCCCGGCCGGCGCUUGCCGAACGCAAAUCAAUCUUUUCCAGGUGACCUCGAUCAG